UCCCUGGUGGUCCGGUGGCUAAAACUCUGCACUGGCAAUGCAGGAGGCCCAGGUUCAAUCCCUGGUCGAGGAA
rfam:TPA: Bos taurus chromosome 8, whole genome shotgun sequence.